AGCGGAUGAAGGGAGCUUGCUCCUGGAUUCAGCGGCGGACGGGUAAGUAAUGCCUAGGAAUCUGCCUGGUAGUGGGGGAUAACGUCCGGAAACGGGCGCCAAUACCGCAUACGUCCUGAGGGAGAAAGUGGGGGAUCUUCGGACCUCACGCUAUCAGAUGAGCCUAGGUCGGAUUAGCUAGUUGGUGGGGUAAAGGCCUACCAAGGGGACGAUCCGUAACUGGUCUGAGAGGAUGAUCAGUCACACUGGAACUGAGACACGUCCAGACUCCUACGGGAGGCAGCAGUGAGGAAUAUUGGACAAUGAGCGAAAGCCUGAUCCAGCCAUGCCGCGUGUGUGAAGAAGUUCUUCGGAUUGUAAAGCACUUUAAGUUGGGAGGAAGGGCAGUAAGUUAAUACCUUGCUGUUUUGACGUUACCAACAGAAUAAGCACCGGCUAACUUCGUGCCAGCAGCCGCGGUAAUACGAAGGGUGCAAGCGUUAAUCGGAAUUACUGGGCGUAAAGCGCGCGUAGGUGGUUCAGCAAGUUGGAUGUGAAUCCCCGGGCUCAACCUGGGA
rnacentral:rRNA from 1 species